rnacentral:SRP_RNA from 1 species
AGCUGGGGAGGUAGCGGCACCCUGUACCUGCAAUCCGCUAUAGCAGGAGUGAUAUCCCGCCUCGGGGCUUUAUCUGGUGGGGCUGCCCAAAAUAAGUGAUGUUGACGUUUAAGUCUUACGCGACGGAGACCUGUGAACCGUGUCAGGUUGGGAACAAAGCAGCACUAAGCAGUGCUCUCCGGGUGCCGUGAGGUUGCUUGGACCGAGUCGGCUGUUUUGGUAACGCCUGU